rnacentral:rRNA from 1 species
CCUACGGGGGGCUGCAGUCGAGAAUAUUGGACAAUGGGCGAAAGCCUGAUCCAGCGACAUUGCGUGGAGGAUGAAGACGUUCGCGCCGUAAACUCCUUUUAUAGGGAAAGAAGUAAUUGACGGUACCCUAUGAAUAAGCGGGGGCUAAUUCUGUGCCAGCAGCAGCGGUAAUACAGAACCCGCAAGCGUUAUCCGGAUUUAUUGGGCGUAAAGUGUUCGUAGGCGGUUCGGAAAGUCUGAUAUCAAAUAUCCGGGCUCAACCCGGGGCGAGUAUUGGAAACUUCCGAACUUGAAGGUGCUAGGGGCUAUCGGAACGCACGGUGUAGGGGUGAAAUCCGUUGAUAUCGUGCGGAACACCAAAAGCGAAGGCAGAUAGCUGGGGCAUUCUUGACGCUGAGGAACGAAAGCGUGGGGAGCAAACAGGAUUAGAUACCCUAGUAGUC